rnacentral:rRNA from 1 species
GAUGAACGCUGGCGGCGUGCCUAAUACAUGCAAGUCGAGCGAACAGACGAGGAGCUUGCUCCUCUGACGUUAGCGGCGGACGGGCGAGUAACACGUGGAUAACCUACCUAUAAGACUGGGAUAACUUCGGGAAACCGGAGCUAAUACCGCAUAAUAUAUUGAACCGCAUGGUUCAAUAGUGAAAGACGCUUUUCCUGUCACUUAUAGAUGGAUCCGCGCCGCAUUAGCUAGUUGGUAAGGUAACGGCUUACCAAGGCAACGAUGCGUAGCCGACCUGAGAGGGUGAUCGGCCACACUGGAACUGAGACACGGUCCAGACUCCUACGGGAGGCAGCAGUAGGGAAUCUUGCGCAAUGGGCGAAAGCCUGACGCAGCAACGCCGCGUGAGUGAUGAAGGUCUUCGGAUCGUAAAACUCUGUUAUUAGGGAAGAAAAAAUGUGUAAGUAAAUAUGCACGUCUUGACGGUACCUAAUCAGAAAGCAACGGCUAACUACGUG